UGUUUCAAAGGGAGUGUAGAGAGAGUGUCUGAUCUUAUGGGGAAGGGAUGUUGACUGUCACCAGGAAGACUUCUUACAUGAGCUCUGUACAAAGGGAAACAGCAACGGAGAAGAGGUGGUGGGAGGUAGCCAGCAAAGUCAGUGACAUUUAGGAGGCAGCACUGCAGUACUUGGACAUACCAAGUAGUUAUUUCAUCUCGGUGAGCAAUUUUAAUUCAUUUUCAGCAAAAUCUUAAAAACUUGAAGACCUGGACUUCUUCAGCUGUGACAUCACAAACCUGAAGGAUUGCAGGGAAAGGAUUUUUGAGCUGCUUCAGGAGAUCACCUACCUAGAUUGAUUUGAUCAGGAAGAAGGGGAUGAGGAGGAUGAAGCAGAUGAAGAUGAAGCUGGUCCACCAGGAGAGUACAAAGAAGAUGAAGAUAAAGACGAUGGAGGUUAAGAUUUGGGGAGAGUGAAGAGGAGGAAGAAGCUGGCCUUUCAUACCUGAUGACAGACAAGAUCCAGCGGUGAUCAACGUGAGCCAUGAUGCACGACUGAUCACGCAGACCAGCUGCCAGCUCUGGGUGGUGGAGGAGCAGUCCAUCAGCCACAUCAACGGCGACUUCGACUGCAAGCGGGAGGUGCUGGAGGCCUCGGGCCAGGUCAGCAUUAACUGGCCCCGGGAGUGACCUUGCUGUGGGGAGGCUCCUCGAGGACCUGCCCAUCCCCUCUCAGAGACCUGCCUGCACAGCUUCAUGUGCACCCACACCCAAAGGACUCUGUGUAGAGGGGGAGGGCCACAGGCAUGGUUGCAGGAUGAACUUUGAAGAUGUGUUUUGGGGGCUAAUGCAAGACAUGUUAUAUUUUUAGAGCUGUUCUUCUACACCUGCUGCUUUCCCAGGAGAGAGAGACUUAAUUUAUAUGAAUGGGAGGGAGGGGGUUGUACUGGAAUGGUCUGUUUUAGGCAGGAGUGAGGGCUGUCCUUGUCCCAUUGCUGGGUUCCCUGCCCCCAGUCUGGAGAAUGGCUUGAGCCUUGUUUUGCUUCCACCCAAGAGGAUUAUAUUAAAAUAUA